CGCGCGUGAGUAAUGGAGGUUUCGGAUCGUAAAGCUCUGUUGUAAGGGAAGACAAGUUCGAGAGUAACUGCCCGCACUUUGACGUUCCUAACCAGAAGCCACGCUAACUACGUGCAACCAGCCGCGGAAAUACGUAGUUGGCAGCGUCGUCGGAAAUAUUGGGCGUAAAGGCUUCGCAGGCGUUUCUUAAAGUCUGAUGUGAAACCCCCGGCUCAUCCCGGGAGGGUCAUUGGAAACUGGGAACUUGAGUUCAGAAGAGGAGAGUGGAAUUCACGUGUAGCGUGAAAUGCGUAGAGUUGUGGAGGACACCAGUUGCGAGGCGACUCUUUUGUCUGUAACUGACGCUGAGAGCGAACGUUGGGAGCGAACAGGAUAGAUACCUGGUAGUCCACGCCGUAAACCAUGAGGCGCAAGUGUAAGGGGUUUCGCUCCUUAGUGCUGCAGCUACCGCAUUAAGCACUCCGCCUGGGGGACCGGUCCCAGGUUUAAACUCAAGGAAUUGACGGGGCCCCCCAAGCGUGGAGCAUGUGUUUAAAUCGGAGCACCGGAAGACCCUACCGGCCUGACUCCUCUGACACCUUGAGUAGGGCUUUCCUUCGGGGACGAGUACAGGGGGCUUGUUUCGUCGCUCAGUCGGAGAGUUGGGUAGUCCGAACGGCCAACCUUGAUCUAGUUGCAGCUUUGGUUGCCUCUAGGUGCUCCGGUGACAAACGAGGAGGUGGGUUACGUCAAUCACAGGCCCUAUACCUGGCCACACUUCCACAUGAAAGACAAAGGUCUAAGACCCAGGUUACCCAACCAAAAUUUUCCAGUCGGACCAGCCGCAACGCCGCGAAGGGGAACCCGAGAAUCCGAAAAUACCGCGGUAAAUCCUCCCGGCUUGAACCCGCCCUUAACCAGAGAUGCAACCCAAGUGCGGGGACCCUUGGGGCGGCUGAGUGAUGUGC
rnacentral:rRNA from 1 species